rnacentral:rRNA from 1 species
GACGAACGCUGGCGGCGUGCCUAAUACAUGCAAGUUGAGCGCUGAAGGUUGGUACUUGUACCGACUGGAUGAGCAGCGAACGGGUGAGUAACGCGUGGGGAAUCUGCCUUUGAGCGGGGGACAACAUUUGGAAACGAAUGCUAAUACCGCAUAAAAACUUUAAACACAAGUUUUAAGUUUGAAAGAUGCAAUUGCAUCACUCAAAGAUGAUCCCGCGUUGUAUUAGCUAGUUGGUGAGGUAAAGGCUCACCAAGGCGAUGAUACAUAGCCGACCUGAGAGGGUGGACGGCCACAUUGGGACUGAGACACGGCCCAAACUCCUACGGGAGGCAGCAGUAGGGAAUCUUCGGCAAUGGACGAAAGUCUGACCGGGCAACGCCGCGUGAGUGAAGAAGGUUUUCGGAUCGUAAAACUCUGUUGGUAGAGAAGAACGUUGGUGAGAGUGGAAAGCUCAUCAAGUGACGGUAACUACCCAGAAAGGGACGGCUAACUACGUG